GACGAACGCUGGCGGCGUGCUUAACACAUGCGAGUCGAACGGAAAGGCCCUGCUUUUGUGGGGUGCUCGAGUGGCGAACGGGCGAGUAACACGUGAGUAACCUGCCCUUGACUUUGGGAUAACUUCAGGAAACUGGGGCUAAUACCGGAUAGGAGCUCCUGCUGCAUGGUGGGGGCUGGAAAGUUUCGGCGGUUGGGGAUGGACUCGCGGCCUAUCAGCUUGUUGGUGGGGUAGUGGCUUACCAAGGCGUUGACGGGUAGCCGGCCUGAGAGGGUGACCGGCCACAUUGGGACUGAGAUACGGCCCAGACUCCUACGGGAGGCAGCAGUGGGGAAUAUUGCACAAUGGGCGGAAGCCUGAUGCAGCAACGCCGCGUGAGGGAUGACGGCCUUCGGGUUGUAAACCGCUUUCGCCUGUGACGAAGCGUGAGUGACGGUAAUGGGUAAAGAAGCACCGGCUAACUACGUG
rnacentral:rRNA from 1 species